UAAUACGUAGGGGGCGAGCGUUGUCCGGAUUUAUUGGGCGUAAAGCGCGCGUAGGCGGUUCGUUAAGUCGGGUGUGAAAACCCGGGGCUCAACCCCGGGCCUGCAUCCGAUACUGGCGGACUGGAGGCAGACAGGGGAGAGUGGAAUUCCUGGUGUAGCGGUGAAAUGCGCAGAUAUCAGGAGGAACACCGGUGGCGAAGGCGGCUCUCUGGGUCUGUCCUGAUGCUCAGGCGCGAAAGCUAGGGGAGCAAACAGGAUUAGAUACCCUGGUAGUCCUAGCCGUAAACGUUGGGUGCUAGGUGUGGGGCGGCGAUUGACCCGCUCUGUGCCGAAGCUAACGCAUUAAGCACCCCGCCUGGGGAGUACGGCCGCAAGGCUAAAACUCAAAGGAAUUGACGG
rnacentral:rRNA from 1 species